UGUUUUCUAGAACGAAUUUAUUAAUUUUACUGUAGCCUAGUAGAAUUGCAGUUCUGACAACUCUUCAAUUGUCAAGGCCAGACAGGUAGAGUGGGAAAAUAGCAACUAGCUCACGACAGGCCAUGUCCUGCGGGGCUACAACGCUUCAAACCGGAGCUUCACGAAUCACACCUUGUUCACGCAACGCUGGACUCGUUUUGGAAGACCCGCCUGAACAUUGAAGAAGCCUAAUCAUCUACUCGACUGACAUUGAUGCUGACUACUACUAGGGAAAAGAUAUGAGCUUAUGCCCCUCCAACUCGUAAUUACUACUGGGAAACUUGUCUCCUCUCUGAGCUCCAACUUCUCCCACAUGCUGAGCUCUGACGUCACCUACUAAGGAAAUGACCUUGAUAACAGCAUUUUCAGCAGUUAAAUGGAACAACAAAACAUUAUUUAUGAAAUAAAUGACAAUGUAUUUAUAGUGUGUUUGUACACUAUAAAUUGUU